AUCCUGACGAGUCCCAAAUAGGACGAAACGCGAAUCAUGCAU
rnacentral:hammerhead_ribozyme from 1 species